GGCCUGAGAGAGAGAGUUCUUCAGACACACUGCAAUGCAGUCCCUGAUCAAAGCAGGCACAGUAAACACACCCCAUAUACACCUCAGCCCAGGUCCUCUGGUUUGUAUUGUGAAUGGGGGACAUGG